UACGUAGGGUGCGAGUGUUGUCCGGAAUUAUUGGGCGUAAAGAGCUCGUAGGCGGUCUGUCGCGUCUGCUGUGAAAACCCGAGGCUCAACCUCGGGCCUGCAGUGGGUACGGGCAGACUAGAGUGCGGUAGGGGAGAAUGGAAUUCCUGGUGUAGCGGUGGAAUGCGCAGAUAUCAGGAGGAACACCGAUGGCGAAGGCAGUUCUCUGGGCCGUAACUGACGCUGAGGAGCGAAAGCGUGGGGAGCGAACAGG
rnacentral:rRNA from 1 species